GUUCUGGCCAAAGUGGAAGAGGAUCCUGAUAAUGUCCCUCAUGGACACAUCACCCCACUGGCUGUGAAGCGCUGCCACCUACGCUUUGGCCUGGCCAAGAAGCUAAUGGACCAGGCCUCCCAGGCCAUGAUGGAGAACUUCAGUGCAAAGUAUGUCUCCCUGCAUGCCAGGAAGAGCAACCGAGCAGCCUUGCACCUCUGUUCCAACACCCUGAACUUGCAGGUCCGAACUCUAGGUCUUACCGAAAGGUGGCAACAACAUGUCCCAUCGGCCAGUAUAGGUAAAUGGACUUGGAAGCAGCAGUGUUGUCUGACCUGAAUGCGUCCACUUCAUCACCAAUCCACAGCCUCUUUGGAUAACCGCAGCACCUUGGCAAACCACGGUUCGAUUUUCUUCUCCUACAUCUUCCUCCUUAGUCGUAUCCAUAUUGAAAAAAAACCAAUUCUCCUGAUGCAGAGCUCCACCUAGAGAACAAAGGAUUACAGUAAGGAGAUUGCAUGAGUCUCAGAAGAGACUUGGAACUUUCGAACAGUGCAG
ensembl:lncRNA